rnacentral:lncRNA from 15 species
GCACAAAACCAAGAUAAGGGAUUAAGCCAGGAUAUGUUGGUUAUCCUGGCUUAAUUUAGCCUCAAGUCGGUUGCAUGAAAGCAGCUCAAACUUAUCCCGGCCAAGUUACUAUGGUGAUUUAUUCUCUGCUGUUAGCCUGCUCCAGACCAGGCUAACAGCCAGGCUAAGAUUAAUCCUAGUGAUUCACCUGUAUUUCCAUCGUCAGUCCUGUGAGGAAUUAAUGUGUUUUACAGCAUGUCCAUGGUCUUUCUAAGUAUGUUGCAUCAUUUUAAUUAUCCUGCGUUAAAAUAUUACAUAUAUAUUGUCAUUUCUUAUUUCAUUUAAAUCUGUUGGCUGUUUGUAAUGCAAACAGUCUUUUUAUAUGAUUUCAAGUGGUAGUAUUAUUACUCAGGACAAGUGUUAUAUUGCUAUGCUAAUGAAGACUGCUUGUCAAAUGACAUAAAUAUUUGUUUAUUGCAGUAAUUGAGAUUACAAAACACAGCUGAUGAAGUUGCAAAGCUGUUUUCAAUGAAAUCUGUGACAAGGGCAAAAUAAUAUAUAUAUUAUGGCAUACCAUUUAAGAAAUUAAUCUUUGAAUAUAUAGAAUGAAACUUUGAAUAUAUGGAAUGAAUCUUUUAAUAUAUUUAAUGAAUCUUUGAAUAUAUAGAAUGAAACUUUGAAUAUAUUGAAUGAAACUUGACUGGUCAUCAAGGCACUGCUGCCAUCUUGUAGAAGUGAGAAUGAGUCAGUCAGGAACCUUGUGGCAGCAAUACUGAGCAAUGAGGACAUUAUUAACUCAUUGCUCAGUAUUGCUGCCACAAGGUUCCUGACUGACUCAUUCUCACUUCUACAAGAUGGCAGCAGUGCCUUGAUGACCAGUCAAGUUUCAUUCAAUAUAUUCAAAGUUUCAUUCUAUAUAUUCAAAGAUUAUUUUCCUAAACAGUAUGCCAUAAUAUAUAUACUAUUUUGCCCUUGUCACAGAUUUCAUUGA